GCCCUCGUGGUGGAAUUGGUAGACACGCUGGUCUUAGAAGCCAGUGCCGUAAGGCGUAGCUGUUCGAGUCAGCUCGAGGGCACCA
rnacentral:tRNA from 1 species